UCACUCUGGGUUCAGCUUUGCUC
rnacentral:piRNA from 1 species